rnacentral:rRNA from 1 species
GACGAACGCUGGCGGCGUGCUUAACACAUGCAAGUCGAACGGAAAGGCCCUGCUUUUGUGGGGUGCUCGAGUGGCGAACGGGUGAGUAACACGUGAGUAACCUGCCCUUGACUUUGGGAUAACUUAAGGAAACUGGGGCUAAUACCGGAUAGGAGCUCCUGCUGCAUGGUGGGGGUUGGAAAGUUUCGGCGGUUGGGGAUGGACUCGCGGCUUAUCAGCUUGUUGGUGGGGUAGUGGCUUACCAAGGCUUUGACGGGUAGCCGGCCUGAGAGGGUGACCGGCGACAUUGGGACUGCGAUACGGCCCAGACUCCUACGGGAGGCAGCAGUGGGGAGUAUUGCACAAUGGGCGGAAGCCUGAUGCAGCAACGCCGCGUGCGGGAUGACGGCUUUCGGGUUGUAAACCGCUUUCGCCUGUGACGAAGCGUGAGUGACGGUAAUGGGUAAAGAAGCACCGGCUAACUACGUG